CCUACGGGUGGCAGCAGUAGGGAAUCUUCCACAAUGGGCGAAAGCCUGAUGGAGCAACGCCGCGUGGGUGAAGAAGGUCUUCGGAUCGUAAAACCCUGUUGUUAGAGAAGAAAGUGCGUGAGAGUAACUGUUCACGUUUCGACGGUAUCUAACCAGCAAGCCACGGCUAACUCCGUGCCAGCAGCCGCGGUAAUACGGAGGGUGCAAGCGUUGUCCGGAAUCAUUGGGCGUAAAGGGUUCGUAGGCGGCAUGUAAAGUCAGGUGUUAAAGGCGCAGGCUCAACCUGUGUAUGGCACUUGAUACUUGCAAGCUGGAGUGCGGUAGAGGUAAAGGGAAUUCCUGGUGUAGCGGUGAAAUGCUUAGAUAUCAGGAGGAACAUCGGUGGCGUAAGCGCUUUACUGGGCCGUAAUUGACGCUGAGGAACGAAAGCGAGGGUAGCAAAUGGGAUUAGAUACCCCAGUAGUC
rnacentral:rRNA from 1 species